AUGAUGGAUUUCAACAUCACCAUCAUUGAUCUCAUGCUACAAAUCCUUCGGAUCCUUCCCAUCAACAGUACACACAACAGAAACACAUGUUCUAGGAAUCUCCUUCAUAGUCCCUGCCAUCUCCUUCGCCAUCGACAUCAACUUCAUAAUCUUCACUAUUGUGCACCGCCCGACUCAAGUUUUGAACCGUUGUUGAAAAGUGUUGUGCUCAAAGCAGCAGCGUUGUUCCAUGCUUUUGAAAACAAAAUCAACAACAAAACUCUAAUUAAAUUCAGGACGUAA